ACAACACAGUGUGAGGUACUGAGGGUAGAGAGUCGACCUCCUCCUCUGCCGGUGAGAAGAACGUCUUGUUGUCGGCACUACGAGAACUGCUUCUACAUCUGAGCAAGUUUACUACAGCUGCUGCUUGAUGCCAAAGAUUAGAUCAUAAACUCAGAGUAUCGUUGUGGUCCUCGUCAACCGAUCCCAGUGUAGAGGAGUCAGUGAGGAGAUUUAUAGCGUUAAUAUAAACCCUUCAUUCACACGCUCUCUGACACGGUGCUUGAGGGGAAGAAAGAAGGAAAGAAAAGAAAGAAAGAAAGAAAGA